CCUACGGGAGGCAGCAGUGAGGAAUAUUGGUCAAUGGGCGAGAGCCUGAACCAGCCAAGUCGCGUGAAGGAUGACGGCCCUACGGGUUGUAAACUUCUUUUGUCAGGGAGCUAUUGGGUCCACGCGUGGGCUUAGCGAGAGUACCUGAAGAACAAGCAUCGGCUAACUCCGUGCCAGCAGCCGCGGUACUACGGAGGAUGCGAGCGUUAUCCGGAUUUAUUGGGUUUAAAGGGUGCGUAGGCGGAAUAUCAAGUCAGCGGUAAAAAUUCGGGGCUCAACCCCGUCGUGCCGUUGAAACUGAUGUUCUGGAGUGGGCGAGAGGUAUGCGGAAUGCGUGGUGUAGCGGUGAUAUGCAUAGAUAUCACGCAGAACUCCGAUUGCGAAGGCAGCAUACCGGCGCCCAACUGACGCUGAAGCACGAAAGCGUGGGUAUCGAACAGGAUUAGAUACCCCAGUAGUC
rnacentral:rRNA from 1 species